rnacentral:rRNA from 1 species
CACUGGCAGCUCAAGUGGUGGCCGUUUUCAUUGGGCCUAAAGCGUUCGUAGCCGGUUUGAUAAGUCUCUGGUGAAAUCCUACAGCUUAACUGUGGGAAUUGCUGGAGAUACUAUCAGACUUGAGGUCGGGAGAGGUUAGAGGAACUCCCAGGGUAGGGGUGAAAUCCUAUAAUCCUGGGAGGACCACCUGUGGCGAAGGCGUCUAACUGGAACGAACCUGACGGUGAGUAACGAAAGCCAGGGGCGCGAACCGGAUUAGAUACCCGUGUAGUCCCUGAGCGGGCU